AACCAAGGUAUAACUCCAAGCCAAGGCUGAACUAGCCGAAACCGGGGCUAAUACCGGAUGCUUGAUUGAACCGCAUGGUUCAAUCAUAAAAGGUGGCUUUUAGCUACCACUUACAGAUGGACCCGCGGCGCAUUAGCUAGUUGGUGAGGUUAACGGCUCACCAAGGCAACGACUGCGUAGCCAACCUGAGAGGGUGAUCGGCCACACUGGGACUGAGACACGGCUCCAAACUCCUACGGGAGGCAGCAGUAGGGAAUCUUCCGCAAUGGACGAAAGUCUGACGGAGCAACGCCCCGUGGAGUGAUGAAGGUUUUCGGAUCGUAAAACUCUGUUGUUAGGGAAGAACAAGUACCGUUCGAAUAGGGCGGUACCUUGACGGUACCUAACCAGAAAGCCACGGCUAACUACGUGCCAGCAGCCGCGGUAAUACGUAGGUGGCAAGCGUUGUCCGGAAUUAUUGGGCGUAAAGCGCGCGCAGGCGGUUUCUUAAGUCUGAUGUGAAAGCCCCCGGCUCAACCGGGGAGGGUCAUUGGAAACUGGGGAACUUGAGUGCAGAAGAGGAGAGUGGAAUUCCACGUGUAGCGGUGAAAUGCGUAGAGAUGUGGAGGAACACCAGUGGCGAAGGCGACUCUCUGGUCUGUAACUGACGUUGAGGCGCGAAAGCGUGGGGAGCGAACAGGAUUAGAUACCCUGGUAGUCCACGCCGUAAACGAUGAGUGCUAAGUGUUAGAGGGUUUCCGCCCUUUAGUGCUGCAGCAAACGCAUUAAGCAUUCCGCCUGGGGAGUACGGUCGCAAGACUGAAACUCAAAGGAAUUGACGGGGGCCCGCACAAGCGGUGGAGCAUGUGGUUUAAUUGGAAGCAACGCGAAGAACCUUACCAGGUCUUGACAUCCUUUGCAACCCUAGAGAUAGGGCUUCCCCUUCGGGGGCAGAGUGACAGGUGGUCGCAUGGUUGUCGUCAGCUCGUACCAAGAGAUGUUGGGUUAAGUCCCGCAACGAGCGCAACCCUUGAUCUUAGUUGUCCAGCAUUCAGUUGGGCACUUUAAGGUGAACCUGCCGGUGACAAACCGGAGGAAGGUGGGAGAUGACGUCAAAUUCCAGGGUUCAUGCCCCUUAUGACCUGGGCUACACACGUGCUACAAUGGGCAGAAAGCAAAGGGCAGCGAAGCCGCGAGGCUAAGCCAAUCCCACAAAUCUGUUCUCAGUUCGGAUCCCGCAGAUUCUAGCAAAUCGACUGCGUGAAUUCCCCGCGGUUUAAAUUUUUCCCGCUAGUAAAUCGCGGAUCAGCAUGCCGCGGUGAAUACGUUCCCGGGCCUUGUGGAA
rnacentral:rRNA from 2 species